UGGGGAAUCUUGGACAAUGGGGGCAACCCUGAUCCAGCCAUGCCGCGUGAGUGAUGAAGGCCUUAGGGUCGUAAAGCUCUUUCGCCUGUGAAGAUAAUGACGGUAGCAGGUAAAGAAACCCCGGCUAACUCCGUGCCAGCAGCCGCGGUAAUACGGAGGGGGUUAGCGUUGUUCGGAAUUACUGGGCGUAAAGCGCACGUAGGCGGACCAGAAAGUUGGGGGUGAAAUCCCGGGGGCUCAACCCCGGAACUGCCUCCAAAACUAUUGGUCUAGAGUUCGAGAGAGGUGAGUGGAAUUCCAAGUGUAGAGGUGAAAUUCGUAGAUAUUUGGAGGAACACCAGUGGCGAAGGCGGCUCACUGGCUCGAUACUGACGCUGAGGUGCGAAAAGUGUGGGGAGCAAAACAGGAUUAGAUACCCUGGUAGUCCACACCGUAAAACGAUGAAUGCCAGUCGUCGGGUAGCAUGCUAUUCGGUGACACACCUAACGGAUUAAGCAUUCCGCCUGGGGAGUACGGUCGCAAGAUUAAAACUCAAAGGAAUUG
rnacentral:rRNA from 1 species